AGCCUUCAAUCAACGUUCAAACAAAACAAGGACAACACCCACCAGCGUACAAACACGAACAGCCGACCCAUCAACGACGACUCCAACCCGCAGUACCUCCGACCCGUCUCCAACGUCGACUCGAACAACGGCGAUCCAACACCGAUAUCAGCAACACAGUCAACAACAAUAAUUUCAACAGAAAACAGCUGAAUCCACGCGAACAACCGAACAGCUCUUACACGUUCAACCCAAUUGCAAAAAUCUCGAAAUUGCCCUUGAGAGCUGCUAUCCCACAUUGACGAAGAUCAGCAAUUCAACCCUCAAAAUUUCUUCUAUAUAAAGCUCAUUCUUGAGCUAAAAUGGACAAGUCUUGGAGGUGAAAAAGCUUCCGAGCAAAAAAAGAGUCUCAUUUUUUUUUUUGUAGAAAAUUUUUAUUUUUUAUUUUCGUGGAAUUCGUCGGCUAAACGAAGAUUCGGAGUUGACGACGACGUUUUUCGGUGGUGGUGAGGAGAUUUCGAUGAUGACUCGAGUCUCGUUUUGCUGCUCCAAAAUAGGCCAUUGAGGCCCACUUUCUAGAAGACACUGAAAAUCGAUUACAUAGCGUGUGGAUAUAAGGAGUCGAAAGAAGAAGAAUGGACUAAAGUCUCGUCUUUGAAGUGGCAAAGAAACUCGAAAGUCUCAUUUUUCUAUUUUGUUCAUUUAUUCAUUUAUUGUUUUUUUUUAUUAUUAUUUAUUUAUUUCUUCAUUUCAUUAUUCAUUCAUUUGAGCCUCGAAGUGAGAGUUGUAAAAAUAGUUUAGGACUGGUUACAGGCAAAGACCCAAAUUUAGAUUAGGACAGGUGCACGUGGGCCAAAAGUCAAAUUAGAUUAGGACAGGGUUUAUUGAUUUGGAUUCAAUGGCCUAAGUCUGUUACUUUCUCUCCUUCCUUUUUUAUAUGCUUUGUUAUUAGUUUGUUUAGACUUA